GGGGUCGUAGCUCAGUUGGCAGAGCGUCUCGUUCGCAAUGAGAAGGUCGCAGGUUCGAUUCCUGUCGGCUCCACCA
rnacentral:tRNA from 1 species